GCAGGCUGNAACCCGCCUGCAUGAAGUUGGAAUCGCUAGUAAUCGCGGAUCAGCAUGCCGCGGUGAAUACGUUCCCGGGCCUUGUACACACCGCCCGUCACACCAUGAGAGUCGGGAACACCCGAAGUCCGUAGUCUGACCGCAAGGGGGACGCGGCCGAAGGUGGGUUCGAUAAUUGGGGUGAAGUCGUAACAAGGUAUC
rnacentral:rRNA from 1 species